UAUAAAUACGCUCCUUUGCGUGUUUUAGUCUGGCAUAGAGAAACCAUUUUUGCGAGUGAAUUUCUCUAUGCUUUUAUUAUAUCA
rnacentral:antisense_RNA from 1 species